GGGAUAUAACUCAGUUGGUAGAGUGCUUGCCUUGCAUGCACAAGGCCCUGGGUUCAAUCCCCAGCAUAUCUCU
rnacentral:tRNA from 1 species